CUCAGAUAGAGGUGUACUGUCAGAAAAGAGAGCAAAAAGGUGGAGAAGGAGCAUGGCUGCAACUGCAAGUUGGAGUCACCUCGCCAUGACACGGCUGUUUUCUUCUUCACUCACAAUGUCUGAUCUGAUGCAGUUGCAUGAAACAUCAUCACUGCCUCGUUAUAUCCAAAAGAAGAAGAGAGAGAAAAAGAAGGUCGAAUCGAGUUCAACGACGGCGAUGGCGACAAGGAUGAUGAUGGUGCAGAGAGAGAGAGAGAGAGAGAGCUUUUGUUGUUGUUAUUGUUGGUGGUGGUAGAGUGGAGUUUAGUAGGAAUGAUCAUCAGCAAUGAGUGAGAAACUCAUGAAAGCCUCACCCAAGAACUUGCAAUGGCAACAAAAAAUGAGGCUCAGAAAGAGAGUGGUGGCUGCGUCAGAAACGCCUUGCCACGACCAUUCAUCCAUCCAUCAUCACAGCCUCAUUCGUUUUAAUUCAAUUUAAUAAUACCCAACAAAAUUAGAAUAAGAAGCAAGUAUUCAGCUACAUGCAUUGCAAAUCUUCAAUACAUACUGUUGGAAAUCCCGCCUUUAUUGCGGUCCGCCCCUGUGGCCUAAAUUGCGGCCUUUGGUUUGCCUUCAUUGCAGCUUCCAACACCUUCAUUGUGUUGGCUUUGAGGGGGUGGAUUUAGUCCCACAUCGGAUAGAUAGGACUCUUGAGAAGAGUUUAUAGAGAGGAGGCAUUCCUCACCUUACAAGCAGGUUUUGUAAGGAUGAGUUAGGCCCCAAAUUUCAACACUUACCAUCAGAAUAUACAUAAUAAGUAAUAGGAAAAGUAGAAAAGUGUUGAAUGACUCGACUUUUAACACUCCCAUUUAAUGAUAAGUCAGUUAAAUAUAACAGAUGUUAGACCAUCCACAAUGCAGCACUCUAUUUGGGUGCUUAAACGGGCCCCGACCGUACACGCCAUUCGUUUUAUAAUUAAUACUUAAUAAGCACCCAAUAUCUCCAACCCCGCACCUCAAAAUAGUUAUUAAUUGGGUCCCUGCAAUAACUCUAUAUCAUUAAAUUUUAACAAUAAUUUAUAUACUUUUAAAAUAUUGAAGUAAUUUAAUUAUAAAUUAUAAACAAAGUUAAAACUUGAGAAAACAAUAUAAAAUAAACGAUGGUAAAUUAUUCGUUGUUUUGUUUAAAUACAAUCACUGUAUGUUUGUUUUGUUUUUUUCCUAUUCAAAUGGGUAAAUUAUUUUUUGUUUUAGAAAAAGUUUUUGUUGAAAAUUUAAUGUUGAUCAAUUAAAUAUUACUCUUGCAACUAAUAUAUAAUUUACUUUUUAAUAUUAAAAUAAUACAACAAUUGAAUAAAGAAAAAAAUAGAAUUAAUUCCCAUGAGUAAUAGGAGAGAGAGGGUGCCUUAUAAAGCACCCAUCUUUAUAGGCACCGUAUUAAUUGGUGUCACAAUGGGGGUGCCUAUUUAACAUGGAUAGAAUGAGCUAAAGCCUUGGGAAGCAUCUGUUAUUAUUAGAAGUAAAACCAGAUUUAAUCUAAGCUUUCACAAUUGAAUCUCCACUAACUUGGUUGGCUAAAUUGCUCACAAUAUACAAGUAUCAACAUAUUUGACCGGAAACUAGUGGCUGCAUUGAUAACUUGGUUGACACUUUCUCACAAUUUAUUGAAGGACGCUUUCUGUUUGUAAGGACAAGCUUGUCUUUCUUUAAUUAUUGUCCGGAUUUUAAAAUCCGAACGCGUUUUAUGCAAAAUUUAGAAUCCGGACGGCAAAAAAAUGAUCCUUAGGAAAAUAUGUAUUUUGCACAACCGGAUUUUAGAUUAACUGAAACGAUGACAACAUAAAAAAUUUAACAAAAUACCCUUUAAUAUAUAUAAUACAUAUUUAGGCUCAUUCAAAUACAUACCCAACACACGAGAAGAAACAGUUCAACAUACCGAACCAUUUCUCAAUCUGUGUCAGUUUGUAACCAUGAAAAUUAUAGCAAAACAAGGUUGCAACAUCUUAUAUUAAAGAUUGACAACGUUCAGUUGAUUAUGAAUCUAUUUCUUUGCCAUGGGUAUGAAGAUGUUAAUAAAAUUAUUGUACCUUUAGGCUCUUCCUAUUUUGAAGACGACAAUCAAAAGCACCGGAAAAGGAAACAUAUAUAGCCACAAGUUAGGUCAAGGAGCAACAUAUUUUGCACAUCCAGAUUUUAGAAUAACAGAAACGUUGACAAAAUAUGUAGCCACAAUAUGUAUUUUGCACAUCCAGAUUUUAGAAUAACAGAAACGUUGACAAAAUAUGUAGCCACGAUAUGUAUUUUGCACAUCCAGAUUUUAGAAUAACAGAAACGUUGACAAAAUAUCCUUUUAUAUAUAAAACAUAUUUCGGCUCAUGAUAGAAACUCCUUGGCAGAACCAUCCAUCCAACAUCCGCAUUCAAAUACAUACCCAACAUACCACAAGAAACAGUUCAACAAACCGAACCAUUCCCAAUCUGUGUCGGUUCGCAACCAUGAAAAUUAUAGCAAAACAAGGUUGCAACAUCUUAUAUUAAAGAUUGACAAUGUUUUCAGUUGGUUAUGAAUCUACCUUUUUGCCAUCGGUAUGAAGAUUUUAAUCAAUUUAUAUCUUUAGCCUCUUCCCAUUUUGAAAUUUAAAAAGAGCUAAAUAGGUCAUCUAGCAGCUCCAAAGUUGACUCUGAAAGACUACAAACGAAAGCACUGGAAAAGAAAACAUAUAUAGCCAAAAGUUAGGUCAAGACAGAGCAACAUAUUUAUCCAUGAUGGUGGUAUUAAUAUUCUGAAUAGAACACUUUUUGCAGAAUACACACAUAAAAGAAAGAAAAGUUGAACUAAGGACAAUAUGUAGAUUGUUUGUUGCCGAAACCACAUUUCUUCUUUGCAGAAUCAUAUUCAUUGCAGAAUACACACAUAGAAAAUUGGAUCACAUUUUGAACUUAAGACUAAUGUCUAAUGCAAGGCUACUUUGGCAAAAGUUAGAGGGUCUGCGUCACAUGAAAUUGAGAGCAUGUUUGUUACAGCUUUUUUCAUAAAAAAAUCACAUUUUUAAACAAAAUAAUACUUUUAGCAGUUUUUCUCCAUCUGAAAAAACAUUAAAACCUGCUUCAAAUUAGAAGCUGCUUUUAGUAAUUUUUCAGAAAAUCAUUUUCUGGUAACUAAAUUUUUUUUUUAUUUUUAAAAAAGUGAUUUUUCAUUCUAGUAUACAAACAGAAAACAACUUCUGCUUUUUUAAAAUAUCUCCAAAAAUUACUCUCUAAAUAACUAAUUUUUAGUAGUUUCUCAGAAAAUCGUUUUCUGAUAACUAACUUCAGCAAAAAAAAACUGAUUUUUCAUUCUAAAUAACUAAUGAAGUUGGUGUUGUGAAUGAGAUGAGAUGAAUGUAAAAGAAAUGUACCUCAUUUCUUCAACAAAAUCAAUAUCAAAUUUGUUAAGCAUGUAUAGAUAUUGACAUCUUGUGUUUUGCUUGUACCACCACCUGAAAAGUAGGAGCUGAGGUGAAAAAGACAGACUGAACCCUAAUCUAUCUCAGCCUCUCACUCCAGAGAGACUAAGAGUGUGGGGGUGUAGAAGAAGAAUAGGAGGCUCAGAUAGAAGUGUAUUGUUUGUUAGAGAAGAGAGUGAAGAAGCAGAGCAGGAGCAUGGCUGCAACAGACAGAGUCGCCUCGCCAUAACACAGCUGUGUUGUUCUUCACACUCAGAAUGCCUGAUCUGAAACAUGGAUCAUCACAGCCUCGUAAUAUCAAAAAGAAGAAGAGAGAAAAAAAGGUCGCGUUGAGUUCGAACAACGACGAGGAUGUUGAAGAAGAAGUAGAAAGAGAAAGCGAGCGCACUUUUGCUGUUGUUGUUGUUGUUGGUGGUGGUGGUGGUGGUGUGUGUGUGUGUGUAGAGUAGAGAGAGAGAAAUAGAAACGAUGGAUCAUUGGCAAUGAGAGUGAGAAACUAACUCAUUCAUCAAAGCCUCACCUACUCAAAAUCACAAACUUGCAAUGCAAUGGCAACAAAAAAGGAGACUCAGAAAGAAAGAGACAGAAGGAUAGUGGUGGCUGCGUCAAAUACACCUCGCCACACAACCAUCCUUCCAUCAAUCAUCACUGCCUCUUUCAAAUUAGAAAGAAAAAAUAAAAGAAGAAGCAGUGUUGAAUCAACUACAUGCAAUGCAAAUCUUCUUCAAUACUUACCUUAUCGUCAUUCAGUUCAAACAUUAUUCACAAUUAACUCUUAGUUAAUGGAUACAGAUAAGGUAAUGGUAUUCGUAGUAACAGAUAUCCAUAUCCAUUAGUAAAUUAAUGAAAUUAUCAAAAUAUCAUUAUUAGGAGUGAAACCAGAUUGAAUCGUUGUAACCAAAAAAGAUUGAAUCCAAGUUAUGAAACUUGCAUAUCCACUAACUUGGUUGGCUAAUUUGUUCACAGUUUACAAGUGUCAACAUAUUUGACCAGAUACUUGUUUUCUAUAGAAGUGAGUAAUCAAUUUUACCCAAUAUCAAACUGUUCAAUAUUUCUUAAAUGCAGUAGGUUAAUGAGUGGCAUUUCUAGUAGGAAGAGUAAAGUAUUGAGAGCAAAAACAUGAUCACACUUUGAAUUUAAAACUAUUGUGUAAUGCAAGACUACUUUGACAAAAGAUUAGAGUAGGGUACCAACUUAGUUGGGUGCUAUUCUUUUUGGAUGUCAUUUUGCUUUUGAUUUAUCAAAAAAAAAAAAAAAAAUACUACUUUGACAAAAGUUAGAAGGUCUACAGGACAUGAACUGAAUAUUAAUAUCCGCAUAAUAUGAACUUGGGGUUGUCAAUGAGAUGAAUGAAAAAGAAAUGUACCUGAUUUCUUCGUCAAAAUAAAUAUCAAAUUUCUUGAGCUUCUACAGAUAUUGACAUCUUGUGUUUUGUUUGUGCCACAACCUGAAAAGAAAGAAGCGGUAAAAAACGAGAGAGAGGGAGGGAGGGAGAGAGAGAGAGAGAGAGAGUUAUACAUAACUCAUUUCAUCCUUAAAGAGUCUUUUGUCUCUGGAUUUAACAUUGAUUCAUACUGAAACCAGACAGACAUAAAACCUAAUCUAUAUCAGCCUCUCAUUCCUGACUCAGAAACAAAACAGAAAAAAGAAUAUCAUCAAGAAAUAACAUAAAAUUAAAUUGAUUAAAAAGCGCAAAGAGAAAUGGCAGAUGGAGAGUUGGGGAAAUAGUUAAUGCUAGAGAUUCAAAAAACAAAUUAAAGAAAUUAAAAAAAAAAAAAAAAUCCAAGUAAGGAAAGGAAAUGGUAAGAGGUGUAGAAAAGAGGAAUAGCAUAGGGGUGAGUAAGAGUGUGGGGAGUUUCGAAUAAGAAUAAGAGGCUCAGAUAGAGGUGUACUGUCAGAGAACAGAGUGAAGAGGAGGAGCACAAGCAUGGCUGCCACUGCAAGUUGGAGUCACCUCGCCAUGACACGGCUGUUUUCUUCUUCACUCACAAUGUCUGAUCUGAUGCAGUUGCAUGAAACAUCGUCACUGCCUCGUUAUAUCCAAAAGAAGAAGUGAGAAAGAAAAAAAGAAGGUCGAAUUGAGUUCGACGAGGAUGAUGAUGAUGAUGAAGAUUGCUGAAAGAGAAAGCAAGCGAGCUUUUGUUGUUU
rnacentral:lncRNA from 1 species